rnacentral:rRNA from 1 species
GGGUUGUGAGGUUAAGCGACUAAGCGUACACGGUGGAUGCCUAGGCAGUCAGAGGCGAUGAAGGGCGUGCUAAUCUGCGAAAAGCGUCGGUAAGCUGAUAUGAAGCGUAAUAACCGACGAUACCCGAAUGGGGAAACCCAGUGCAAUUCGUUGCACUAUUGCAUGGUGAAUACAUAGCCAUGCAAGGCGAACCGGGGGAACUGAAACAUCUAAGUACCCCGAGGAAAAGAAAUCAACCGAGAUUCCCCCAGUAGCGGCGAGCGAACGGGGAAGAGCCCAGAGUCUGAAUCAGUUGGUGUGUUAGUGGAAGCGUCUGGAAAGUCGCACGGUACAGGGU